AGGACUUAGAGCUUUCCUUGGUGUACCCACCCUUACACUCCCAGGCUCUAAUGGAUCUUUAAUAGCCAGUGUUCUCACCAACCACGCCUCUUGGACCCAAAGACUAUAGCAGCCUCUCAUCCACCUCCACCCAGCCCUCAGGGGCCUGAAACCCCCGCUUGUGCAGGCCCUGAAACUUGCAAGAUCUCAUGAUCUCAUCUUCUUGCUCAGACAGUUGAGUAUCUACCUCUAGGCCCACAGGGAGAGUAGAGUCCCGGAGAUGGGCUUAUCCUCCCAGAGCAAUGGGUACCUGUGUCCACCUCCAUGCUAACGACAGGGCUGGAGGAGGACAGUGACACAGGCAGUUGCAGAAGCCCCAUAAGGGACCACAGAGUGAGAGGGAAACCUAGGGGCCUUGGGGAGACCACCGUAAGUUAAUAACUGCUCAAGAAGACCAUCAGAACGAGGCAGGCUUGCUAGACUAGUGGAGGCAUGAGAUAUGCCUCAGGUUAUUGGGGGGCAGGGGAAUGGGGUGAGGCCUGCAUUCAGGUUCAGACCCCGGGCAGGAGUUUAAGGACUACACUUCUGCUGAUUUGAAUAAGCACCCUGACAGUCCUAGUUUGACCUUAUAGGACCAAAUUCUCUCUCAGCAAAUACCAAGGAGGAGCUACCCCUCCAAGAAAGAGGAAGAGGCUGUCUUUUCCCACCCUCACUCCCUUGGGUGAUAAAACUGUAGCCCUGGGGCAGAGCCCCUUGCCUGCCUGCUUGCAUCUCUCACAAGCGUCCUAUCUUAAAACAUCUAUUUCUUGCCUAUCACUUUAUCUCUUACUGAAUUCUGUGCUGAGACAAAGAAUUGGAACCUCAGUAAGUCCAGACACUGGGUACAUGAAAAACCCUGGGUUCAAGUCCCAGUCUGGGUUCUGGCUGGGUUCAAGAUGGCUCGGUUUCACUAAGAAACCCCUUCCCCAUUCCCAGAGAACCGCGAGCAUUGGUCCUCAGGUCCUACCUGCGGAGUUGCUUGCAUCCGCUGCCUGGAGCACACUUCUUCUGGGUCUCAGGAUGAGGGGCCCCCUUUUUUUUAUCAGCUUUUCUUUGGGUAAUGUCUUACUCUAGAGAUAAAAUUGACUUUGUCUGAUCCCCCUGGUACUGAAAUGGUGUGUUAGACCCUAAAUUUUUGUGGGUUUUUUUUUGUUUGUUUGUUUGUUUUUUGGUUCUUUUUGUCUUUUUGGGCCACUCUCACAGCAUAUGGAAGUUUCCAGGCUAGGGGUCCAAUCAGAGAUUGUAGGUCGCAGACUGUGGCUCAGCUCAGAUCCCAUGUGGCUGUGGCUCUGGCAUAGGCUGGCAGCAACAGCUCUGAUUAGACCCUAGCUUGGGAACCUCCAUAUGCCAUGGGUUAAGCCCUAGAAAAGACAAAAAAAAAAAAAAAAAAAAAAAAAAAAAAGAGAACCAACUAUUAGGCAUGAGGAUGCUUGUGCGAUUCUUGUUCUUUCUCAGUGGGUGAAGGGUCUGGUGUUGGUGAAAGCUGCAACGAAGUUCCAAGAUGCGGCAGGAUCUGGCGCUACUGUGGCUGUGGCAAAGGAGUUAGUGUUUGCAUCAAGAAGUGCAGCAAGGGGAGUUCCCGCUGUGGCACAGCGGAAAUGAAUCUGACU
rnacentral:lncRNA from 1 species